AUUGAACGCUGGCGGCAGGCCUAACACAUGCAAGUCGAGCGGAUGAGUGGAGCUUGCUCCAUGAUUCAGCGGCGGACGGGUGAGUAAUGCCUAGGAAUCUGCCUAUUAGUGGGGGACAACGUUUCGAAAGGAACGCUAAUACCGCAUACGUCCUACGGGAGAAAGCAGGGGACCUUCGGGCCUUGCGCUAAUAGAUGAGCCUAGGUCGGAUUAGCUAGUUGGUGAGGUAAUGGCUCACCAAGGCGACGAUCCGUAACUGGUCUGAGAGGAUGAUCAGUCACACUGGAACUGAGACACGGUCCAGACUCCUACGGGAGGCAGCAGUGGGGAAUAUUGGACAAUGGGCGAAAGCCUGAUCCAGCCAUGCCGCGUGUGUGAAGAAGGUCUUCGGAUUGUAAAGCACUUUAAGUUGGGAGGAAGGGCAUUAACCUAAUACGUUAGUGUUUUGACGUUACCGACAGAAUAAGCACCGGCUAACUUCGUGC
rnacentral:rRNA from 1 species